GCAGAGGUAGUAGGGAUGACCAGGGAGGUUCUCUUGAUAAGUGUGUGAAUUUGGCAAUUUUCCUGGCCUGCUAAGUAAGCAUUCAGUACUUUUGGGUGUCAGGUAAAAAGUACAUGUAUAUAUUUUAACUUGCGAAGUGUUUAUGAUUAGCCAUACUGACAAAAAAGAGCACAUUAUUAUUGCUCAAUAUGUAUUUUCGUAAACAUGAAAAUUAUCACUCUAAAAUAUUGUACCAACAAGUAGGGCGUGUAGUUUCAUUUCUGACUCACUUGUACUUCGUAUCAUUUUGGAAAGCGUAACGGGCAACAGAUCACUCUAAAGUAUUGUCAACAUAUUUUUUUACAAACAACAGGGCGUGUAGUUUCAUUUCUGACUCACUUGCACUAUGUAACAUCUUGGAAAGCGAAACUGACAGCGAACAGGCCUGGGCCUGUUUAAAGAGCAGCUCGCGGAAUUCCCCAACACCGAUCCGCAGAGACGAGGACAGUAACAGAGCGAAUCAUUACUGUCAACCAGACAACAAGGACUACAGAAAUACGCUUAUUUAAAAGUUUUAUGUAAUCUGCCAUCAAAAAUAUUCACACGUUCAGCAAAGUGGACCAAUAGUAAUUCAGCCAGAAUGGAAAACCCAAACAGGGGCAGGAGAGGUAGAGGAGCCAACCAUCACAGAAUAGGUGCUGAGGCUGGUCAGAGAGAAGAGGAAGGAAUAGCCAACCGAGGGGGAAGAGGUAGGGGGGCCAGGGGAGAGAGGAGAGGUGUUAAUGGGGGGAAUCCA